AUGUACAUUCCUACAUCAUAGCGUUAAUGCAUCGGAUCCCAUUAGAACUCUGCAGUUAAGAGGGCUCAUGCUAGAGUAGUACCGGGAUGGGUGACCACUCGAGAAGUCCUAGUAUUUUACAUG
rnacentral:rRNA from 1 species